GCAGCAACGCCGCGUGGAGGAAGAAGGCCUUCGGGUUGUAAACUCCUGGCCAGGGGGAAAGAACGGCACCUGGGUAACUAGCCCAAGGGCUGACGGUACCCCCAGAGGAAGCCACGGCUAACUACGUGCCAGCAGCCGCGGUAAUACGUAGGUGGCGAGCGUUGUCCGGAAUCAUUGGGCGUAAAGCGCGCGUAGGCGGCUUGUCAGGUCUGAUGUGAAACCUUGGGGCUUAACUCCAAGCGUGCAUCGGAAACCGGCUUGCUAGAGUCUGGGAGAGGGAAGUGGAAUUCCUGGUGUAGCGGUGAAAUGCGUAGAUAUCAGGAGGAACACCAGUUGCGAAGGCGGCUUCCUGGAACAGUACUGACGCUGAGGCGCGAAAGCUAGGGGAGCGAACAGGAUUAGAUACCCUGGUAGUCCUAGCCGUAAACGAUGGACACUAGGUGUCGGGAGUGUCGACUCUCUCGGUGCCGAAGCUAACGCAUUAAGUGUCCCGCCUGGGGAGUACGGCCGCAAGGCUA
rnacentral:rRNA from 1 species